UUUUUGGAGAGUUUGAUCCUGGCUCAGGAUGAACGCUGGCGGCAUGCCUAAGACAUGCAAGUCGAACGAAGUGGCCCAACAAAAACCGAGUGCUUGCACGAAGUUGGCGAUGGAAUUUCCACUUAGUGGCAGACGGGUGAGUAACACGUAAGUAAUCUGCCCUGAAGACUGGAAUAAUGUUUGGAAACGAACACUAAUACCGGAUAAUUCAUACUUAGAUAACUAAGUAUGCUAAAAGAAGCGUUUGCUUCACUUCAGGAUGAGCUUGCGGCGUAUUAACUAGUUGGUGGGGUAAUGGCCUACCAAGGUGACGAUGCGUAGCCGAACUGAGAGGUUGAUCGGCCACAUUGGGACUGAGACACGGCCCAAACUCCUACGGGAGGCAGCAGUUAGGAAUAUUCGUCAAUGGGGGAAACCCUGAACGAGCAAUGCCGCGUGAGUGAUGACGGUCUUUAUGAUUGUAAAACUCUGUUGUAAGGAAUGAAACCUUGAAAUAGGAAAUGAUUUCAAGCUGACGGUACCUUACCAGAAAGCCCCGGCUAACUACGUGCCAGCAGCCGCGGUAAUACGUAGGGGGCGAGCGUUAUCCGGAUUUAUUGGGCGUAAAGUGUGUGUAGGCGGUUUGUUAAGUCUAAAAUUAAAGCCUGGGGCUUAACCUCAGUUCGUUUUAGAAACUGGUAGACUUGAGUGUGGUAGAGGCAAGUGGAAUUUCUAGUGUAGCGGUUAAAUGCGUAGAUAUUAGAAGGA
rnacentral:rRNA from 1 species